AGUUUCGGAAGUUGAUGCGGAAACUAAAGCCUUUGUGGAGGAUAUGAAUGAGAAUUGGCACUUAAGAAAGGGGAAGCAGAAAAAUAGCAGUGAGGGCAUAGUUAUGAACGAAAAUGGAAGUUCGCUUUAUAGUUUGGAGAAUAUAAAGAAGGAUUAUAGGUUGAAGAAGCAGAGAGUUCAUGCGGGUUUGUGGUUGAAGGAAAUUGAGAAGAUGGAAGAGGCUAAGCUUGGGGAUUCUAUUGGUGGUAGUGGCAAUGGUGAUGAUAUUGAAAAACUUCUCGAUAGCUGCUCAGAGAUUUUUGAUUCACCUAAUGAUGACUCAAACAAUUCGAACACAACUUCUGAGUUCAAAAACAAACCUGAUGGCUGGGAAACGACUUCAAAAACACAAGAUGGGAAUAUAUGGGAGAUG
rnacentral:misc_RNA from 1 species